GCGUUAUCCUGUAGCUAUUUAGCUAGAUAGCUUAUGCAAGGGAGUUGCAUUCCCACAUGCUGCGAAAAGACUUAUCAAGUGGGUCCACCUGAGUUCUUCCUUUGCCGGCUCAGCUGUCUAUACAAAAAUUAGAAAUAAUCCAGGGUGAGUUACUUUCACAAUGUCAGCAGAAACAGCAAGAUGAGCACAGGCCAACACGGUGUCUCUGCAGAUCUGUGCAGAACCUGUGAGGGAAGGGGAGAGAGAGAGAGAGAGAGAUCUGUACUCUCGAGGGAGCUUAUACAUUAAAGGAAGAGAUCAAGAAAUGGACACAGAUAGAAGUAACACAAGAGAGGAAGAGUGGACAGAAGAGCAGAAUAUUCCAUGACUUCUCAACUAUAGAAUCAUAGAAUAAAUACAGAAGGAACCUGAAAAGGAUCUACUCCACUGGGUCUCAAACUCUUUUCAUGCACGCCUCAAAAUUUUGGCCAUAUCAUUUACCCCACAGUUUUCUUUAAAUUAGUUUACUUUUUAAACUUAACUACUGUGGUGGGCAAAAUUCUAAAUAUGACCUCCAAUGACCCUUGCUCUUGGAUAAUUCCCUCCCCUCUGAAUGUGGGUGAAACUUAUCAAAAUGAUGAGAAAUCACUCCAAUGAUUAUAUUACAUUAUAUGGCAAAAUGGAGAUUAUCUG
rnacentral:lncRNA from 1 species